rnacentral:rRNA from 1 species
AGAGCACUCCUACGGGACGGCAGCAGUGGGGAAUAUUGCACAAUGGGCGCAAGCCUGAUGCAGCCAUGCCGCGUGUAUGAAGAAGGCCUUCGGGUUGUAAAGUACUUUCAGCAGUGAGGAAGGUGGGUAUGUUAAUAGCAUACUCAUUUGACGUUAGCUGCAGAAGAAGCACCGGCUAACUCCGUGCCAGCAGCCGCGGUAAUACGGAGGGUGCGAGCGUUAAUCGGAAUUACUGGGCGUAAAGCGCAUGCAGGUGGUUUGUUAAGUCAGAUGUGAAAGCCCGGGGCUCAACCUCGGAAUUGCAUUUGAAACUGGCAAACUAGAGUACUGUAGAGGGGGUAGAAUUUCAGGUGUAGCGGUGAAAUGCGUAGAGAUCUGAAGGAAUACCGGUGGCGAAGGCGGCCCCCUGGACAGAUACUGACACUCAGAUGCGAAAGCGUGGGGAGCAAACAGGAUUAGAUACCCUGGUAG